CAAUUGAGGAAAAAAGUUGGCAACACUGGUAAUGUCUUAAACUCUCAUUUUUUUCUCUUUUUUUUUCUCGCUGUCACCAAGGGAGAGCCAUGCGGAGCUCGCGAUCCUGUCUUCUUUGUCUCGCAGUCUCGUUUCUUUCUGAACAAUAGCCUCUUUCCAGGAAUUUUGUCAUCUCGUGUACCUGCAUCCUCAUUCCUAACUUACGUGUGGCGUCUGCUUUCCUUCUUCCUUGUCCAUUGUUCCAGACUGGUUUUACCUUCCCUGCUUCCCUGCCUUACGAAAUGCAAACAUUGUGUAGAUUGUAACUACCUAUUUGAGAUGUUCUAAGUCAAGUCUAGUAAUAUACGUACACUUCAGUUUAUCUAAGGGUACCUAUAGUGAAUGAGCACUCUUUUUUAACUACAUCUUCCAAGUCGUAAGGUUUUUCUUGUGUUGAGUUUUCUUGUUGUUGGUGAUAUUGAUCGAAGAGUGUAACCUGGAUUUGAAGGACAGGCGGUUAUAAAAUUACUGGAUAUAUCCGUGUUAAACACAGUAAAGUUCAAUUUAGAAAGAUGCAUUUCGCAACUGGGAGGAUGACAGACUCGAGAAGGAACAAGAGAGAGAAGCAUGAACCACAAGAAGACGAGGUUGAAGAUACAAUGAUAAGGCGAAUGAAAAAAGACUUCGCUGAUCUCAAAAUGGAAGUGAUUAAAUUUCGAGAAAUAUUAAGGAUAGUUUUUAAUCGACUGGAAAAACUAGAGCGUAUACUAUAGUACUCGUAAGAAGCAGUAAAAGAGUAAUAUCAAUUAUGUUUGUUUUUAUAACUCAUUAGUAUAAGGAUGUUUGAAUUAGGUACAUUCGUUGUACCUUCCCCCUUUUUCUCCUCCAAUCAUCUUAUGUUUUUUGGUGAAUGUCAUUUUUUUCAAUCUUAAUUUAAUUUCCCGAACGAUUGUUUGUUUGAUUUUGUAUUUUUUUCCUGGCAUUUUUAACACUGUUUUGCUCUCUUUUUUGGCUGCCAAUUACUUUACAUAAGGCUGUUUGAAAGCUUCAAAAAAAAAAUUGAAAAAAUUACCGUUUUGGUAUUUUUACUAACACAAUAUUAUGGGUUAAAAUUCGUUAGAAACGUGUCCAGUAUGAUCAUAUCAGGGCAAACAUUGUCAAAUUAAUUUUUUUUUCUUUUUUUUACGUGUCGUUAUUUUACAUAUUCGUACUAUAAAUAUCAUCGGUUGUUUUUAUUUUUAGUGAUGAUUUUUUGAAAUAAGUGCCUACCUAGUAAUUUUUUAUAUCGACGAUUUAGUCAGAAUUAUUUAUUUUUACCUGAGAAGCUCGUGCAGGCAUAUUGGGCCUUAUUACUUCGCUUUUGCUUUACUAAAAUAAUUUUUUUUUCAAUUCAGCAGAGUUUUUAAACGUUAUAAUUAGUACGUGUAAUUUUAUUUCUGAUGUGUGUUUUUGUACAUAUCGUUUUUAGAAGUUAAAUAUAUAUUUUUUCAUGCA